GCCUGGUUCCAGUUGCUGGUGAGUCCUCUUAGCUUGUGGACAUGGGCUUUCCUCUGAGGACGUCCAGAGAGAGAGAGAAAGCACGCUAUUUGAUGUAUGGGGAGAUUAAUGGGAUUGGAGCAGGUUUCCUCAGUGGAUUCUGUAAAUCCCAUCACCCAGGAGGCAGAGUUAAACCCAUGAAGUAACAAGUAGUGACUACUUCUCCAUUGAAACAAAACCUCUAUUUCAGUUCUAAAUUGAUGGGAACGUCGUAAAGAAUAAAACAGCUCCAUCAUAUACCCUUUUUUUUG
rnacentral:lncRNA from 1 species